GGAGCCCGGGCCGUCCGGGAAGCCAUACUCCGCGCGCUACAUCGGCAGCCUCGUCGGCGACUUCCACCGCACGCUGCUCUACGGCGGCAUCUACGGCUACCCCAGGGACCAGAAGAGCAAGAACGGCAAGCUGCGGCUGCUGUACGAGUGCGCGCCGAUGAGCUUCAUCGUCGAGCAGGCCGGCGGCAAGGGCUCCGAUGGCCACCAGAGGAUACUUGACAUCAUGCCUACGGAGAUCCAUCAGAGAGUGCCGCUGUACAUCGGGAGCGUGGAGGAAGUGGAGAAGGUCGAGAAGUUCUUGGCUUGACUGCAAGUUUCAUAUACG
rnacentral:misc_RNA from 1 species